ACCUGAGUGCUGCAUUCCAAACUGGAUAUCUAGAGUGCAGGAGAGGAAAGUAGAAUUCCUAGUGUAGCGGUGAAAUGCGUAGAGAUUAGGAAGAAUACCAGUGGCGAAGGCGGUCUGCUGGGCCGUUGCUGACGCUGAGGCGCGACAGUGUGGGGAGCAAACAGGAUUAGAUACCCUGGUAGUCCACGCCGUAAACGAUGGACACUAGGCGUCGGGGGGAGCGACCCUCCCGGUGCCGUCGCUAACGCAGUAAGUGUCCCGCCUGGGGAGUACGGCCGCAAGGCUGAAACUCAAAGGAAUUGACGGGGGCCCGCACAAGCGGUGGAGCAUGUGGUUUAAUUCGACGCAACGCGAAGAACCUUACCCAGGCUUGACAUGCACGGGACGGGUGUGGAAACACACCUUCCCUUCGGG
rnacentral:rRNA from 1 species